CAGGCCACAAUGGAAUCACCGACCACAGUACUAGCAAGUAGCAACCUUCGACGACGAGGAGCCAACGCUCCCGGCACCGGCGCCGGCGCCUCUCCAACAGGGAGAGAGAGGCGCAACCGGCUGCUACUACGAGCACCCCACGGCGGCGGGGAGCAGGACAUCUCCUUUGCGCGCGAGUGGCGGCGGACUAGUCCAGUCAACUCUAUCCUUUUUCACAUGAAAGUAGAGAGAUUAUCUGUGUUAGCCAUUUUGUCAAACAUCCGGGAGAGUUCCAACUCUAAGCUAAGAGCAUUGGAUAGCACACUGUUUUCAUUCAAUCAUGACAAGCUGAAAUGAAAUGGUUGUAGAAGGAUGAUGAUAUUUUAUUUGAGAACCAGUUGGUGAAUGGAUCAACCGAUCCUAACCCUGGGCUGAGAAGGUGUUUGCUUUGGUGGGUGACUAACCAAGAAAUACAAGGACGAAUCUUGAAAUUGCCAGGUUGAACUCCCAGAUUAGUGUUGCCGUUGGGCUUCCUGAAUCAUCACUGAGAUGUAGCGAGUUACAACUUCACUGGGAAAAUACGACAUUAAUUUGCAAAAAUCAUUCUUCUUAUGCUAUCUGAAACAUACUUCCAAAUUAGAAAUCAGAUAAGGUACAGAAGCAAUUACAAUAUGGAUGUUCCUUCUAUUCAUUACUGGCAGUGAUACAUUUCAUCUUGGACCAGAUAAGAUUGAUGCCAGUGGUGGAGCUGAAUAUGCUGAUUGAUCAGUUUGAACAGACAAUACUGGAUCUGAACUGAAGAAAUUGUAAUCUAUGGAAGUUUCUACGGUCAUUGUACCUUCAAGUACCUUGACUACCAUUGACAUCAACGGCCUUCGACUGCUAUCAUGUUGCAAGCACCACAUUGCAAGCUUCAUCAUUUGAAUAACUUUAUCCUGAUGGAUGCUUUCCUCAGGCUGAGAAUUAUCGAUAUUUUUUCUUCCACAUAUUACUUCCAUAACAACAACUCCAAAGCUGUAAAUAUCAACUUUUUCGGUGAUUUGCGACGUUAACCAUUCAGGCGCCAGAUACCCAGAAUAUUCUGUGGUUUAAUGUCCAAAUGAGCAAUUUUUCGCCGGCACUCCUCAUGAAGAUAACAUAAGCCCUUGGCAAUAUCCAUAAUGAUCCUACACCUGGUGCUCCAAUCAAGAGGGGCAUUAUUGUGGCGAUAAUAUA